UACAGAGGUCUCAAGCGUUAUUCGGAUUCAUUGGGCGUAAAGGGCUCGUAGGUGGCCAACUAAGUCAGACGUGAAAUCCCUCGGCUUAACCGGGGAACUGCGUCUGAUACUGGAUGGCUUGAGUUUGGGAGAGGGAUGCGGAAUUCCAGGUGUAGCGGUGAAAUGCGUAGAUAUCUGGAGGAACACCGGUGGCGAAGGCGGCAUCCUGGACCAACACUGACACUGGGGAGCGAAAGCCAGGGGAGCAAACGGG
rnacentral:rRNA from 1 species